CAAGAUAGAGCUUGUUAGUUGAGCAAUCCAUUUACAUUGGGGGGGUUUUGUGCUCGUCAUCGUUGUUGU
rnacentral:tRNA from 1 species